AUCGCUUCUCGGCCUUUUGGCUAAGAUCAAGUGAUAAUUUAGAGCUCUAUGAUUUUUGGAAAUUUUAUGAUGAAAUAUUAACUGUGGCAUGUCGACUAAGAUAUCAAAAUACUCGUAAGGAAUUUCUGCAUCCAAUGGUAGCAAUUUCAAC